ACGAGCGCUGGCGGCAUGCCUAACACAUGUAAGUCGAACGGCUCCUCGGAGCAGUGGCGCACGGGUGAGUAACGCGUGGGAACCUACCCUGAGGUUCGGAAUAACGGCUGGAAACGGCCGCUAAUACCGGAUGUGCCCUGAGGGGCAAAGGCUUGCCGCCUUGGGAGGGGCCCGCGUCCGAUUAGCUAGUUGGUGGGGUAAUGGCCUACCAAGGCGACGAUCGGUAGCUGGUCUGAGAGGAUGAUCAGCCACACUGGGACUGAGACACGGCCCAGACUCCUACGGGAGGCAGCAGUGGGGAAUAUUGGACAAUGGGCGCAAGCCUGAUCCAGCAAUGCCGCGUGUGUGAUGAAGGCCUUAGGGUUGUAAAGCACUUUCGCCGGUGACGAUGAUGACGGUAGCCGGAUAAGAAGCCCCGGCUAACUCCGU
rnacentral:rRNA from 1 species